GACGAACGCUGGCGGCGUGCCUAACACAUGCAAGUCGAACGAGAGCACCCGUUCCUGGCCCUGGUGGAGCGAGGGGCAAGGGGGUGAGUAACACGGGGGUAACCUCCCCAGCGGAGGGUGAUAAGGUCAGGGAACGAAUGCUACAACAGCAUAUCUAUUCAAAAAGCAGGGGUUGAUGAGGGAAAGAGGCACUAGCUUCGGCCGAUGGCUGGACCGGCGGUUGAUGAGCUAGUUGCUGAGGUAACGGCCUACCAAGGCCGCGAUGGAUAGCAGAUCUGAGAGGGCGACCGGCCACACUGGGACUGAGACACGGCCCAAACUCCUACGGGAGGCAGCAGUAGGGAAUCUUACGCAAUGGACGAAAGCCUGAUGCAGCAACGCCGCGUGAGUGAAGAAGGUCUUCGGAUUGUAAAACACUGUUGUCCGGGAAGAAGUAGUGGUCGAUUAUCUGUUCGGGUCAUGACGGUACCUAAAGAGAAAGCCCCGGCUAACUACGUG
rnacentral:rRNA from 1 species